AGGAAAUAUCCAAGAGUGAAUUCAUAAGGGCUUUACUUAUAAGACAGGGCAAUAAGUUCAGUCCCUAGUCAGUAAACAACACUGAAAAGAGCAGGGGCAGGAGAUGUAUUCAAGGACAGAACCAGGCCAAAUGAAAAACAGAAGAAUCAUAGAAUCAGAGAUUAUAAAGGACAAAGAUGUUCUGAAGAACCUUUGGAUGGAGUUAAAGGCGAUAACAAUAAUAAUCUUUAAAGAUCUCCAGCAUGAAAAUCAGAUCUUACAAUGUAACCAAAGGACCCCUGUGUCUUGCCAUCUUCCUUCUACUACAUCCUUAGGACUUCCAGGCUUCUCUGUUUACUUCAACUAAACUUUAUUUUAUCUGUUUGUUUGUUUGUUUUUUUAACUCUAAUUAAAAUGAGAGCUCCUUGACAGUAAAAACUGCUUACCUUUGGUGUAUAGUAGUUACUUAAAUGCUUUUUUCAUUAAGUCAUUCAGUGAUUUUGCAUUUGUUAUUC
rnacentral:lncRNA from 1 species